rnacentral:lncRNA from 1 species
AUUUAUGUUUAUUGAAUCAUGACUGCCAAGGAACAAAACUAUUUAACACUCAUUACAAUAUAUUUUCUCAAAUCUAGUGCUAAUUGUGUAUUUUAAUCUAUUGUUAAAAAACAACAAAGAAUUGUGAUUAUUUAGUUUUGGUGUUGCAAAUGCUAAACAUUGUUAACAUUGUUAGUAUUGAAACUAAAUAUGAUCAGAUGGAUCCAACCUGUUUUUUUCUGUGGUUCUGUUGUAUCAAUAGAUGUACAUUCAUAUAUAUGUUACUACAUCAUGCAUGUAUGUAUGAAAUUAAAUGUGGAUUUGGACAUUGCCAAUUCGACAAAUAUUCCACAUCUCCUUUUAUUCACAUGAUGAAAAUGUCUUCAACAAUUAAGAUGUACUGAUCAAAUCAUAGCUCAGGAAGCA